CAUAGGUUAAUGAGGCGAACCGGGGGAACUGAAACAUCUAAGUACCCCGAGGAAAAGAAAUCAACCGAGAUUCCCCCAGUAGCGGCGAGCGAACGGGGAGCAGCCCAGAGCCUGAAUCAGUGUGUGUGUUAGUGGAAGCGUCUGGAAAGGCGCGCGAUACAGGGUGACAGCCCCGUACACAAAAAUGCACAUACUGUGAGCUCGAUGAGUAGGGCGGGACACGUGGUAUCCUGUCUGAAUAUGGGGGGACCAUCCUCCAAGGCUAAAUACUCCUGACUGACCGAUAGUGAACCAGUACCGUGAGGGAAAGGCGAAAAGAACCCCGGCGAGGGGAGUGAAAAAGAACCUGAAACCGUGUACGUACAAGCAGUGGGAGCACGCUUAGGCGUGUGACUGCGUACCUUUUGUAUAAUGGGUCAGCGACUUAUAUUCUGUAGCAAGGUUAACCGAAUAGGGGAGCCGAAGGGAAACCGAGUCUUAACUGGGCGUUAAGUUGCAGGGUAUAGACCCGAAACCCGGUGAUCUAGCCAUGGGCAGGUUGAAGGUUGGGUAACACUAACUGGAGGACCGAACCGACUAAUGUUGAAAAAUUAGCGGAUGACUUGUGGCUGGGGGUGAAAGGCCAAUCAAACCGGGAGAUAGCUGGUUCUCCCCGAAAGCUAUUUAGGUAGCGCCUCGUGAAUUCAUCUCCGGGGGUAGAGCACUGUUUCGGCAAGGGGGUCAUCCCGACUUACCAACCCGAUGCAAACUGCGAAUACCGGAGAAUGUUAUCACGGGAGACACACGGCGGGUGCUAACGUCCGUCGUGAAGAGGGAAACAACCCAGACCGCCAGCUAAGGUCCCAAAGUCAUGGUUAAGUGGGAAACGAUGUGGGAAGGCCCAGACAGCCAGGAUGUUGGCUUAGAAGCAGCCAUCAUUUAAAGAAAGCGUAAUAGCUCACUGGUCGAGUCGGCCUGCGCGGAAGAUGUAACGGGGCUAAACCAUGCACCGAAGCUGCGGCAGCGACGCUGAUGCGUUGUUGGGUAGGGGAGCGUUCUGUAAGCCUGCGAAGGUGUGCUGUGAGGCAUGCUGGAGGUAUCAGAAGUGCGAAUGCUGACAUAAGUAACGAUAAAGCGGGUGAAAAGCCCGCUCGCCGGAAGACCAAGGGUUCCUGUCCAACGUUAAUCGGGGCAGGGUGAGUCGACCCCUAAGGCGAGGCCGAAAGGCGUAGUCGAUGGGAAACAGGUUAAUAUUCCUGUACUUGGUGUUACUGCGAAGGGGGGACGGAGAAGGCUAUGUUGGCCGGGCGACGGUUGUCCCGGUUUAAGCGUGUAGGCUGGUUUUCCAGGCAAAUCCG
rnacentral:rRNA from 1 species